GAUUGGUGGUUUUGGAUGAAGUGGAGGGAGAGGGAAGAUUGGUGGUUUUGGAGGAAGUGGAGGUAGAGGCUUAUAAACGACCGGUGGUUUUGGCUUGUAGAUUGGCACUGGAGGAGGCUUGUACACUGGAACCGGUGGUGGCUUUGGUUUUGGCUCAUAGACAGGAACUGGAGGAGGCUUGUACACUGGAACUGGUGGUGGCUUUGGUUUUGGCUCGUAGACAGGAACUGGAGGGGGCUUGUAAAUUGGAACUGGUGGUUUAGGUGGAAACGGUUUCUUGAAAGGAGGGCAUGGUUUCUUGGGUAUUGGUGGUGGCUUGUAGACUGGUACUGGUGGAGGGAGUGGCUUAGGAGGGAAAACUUUCGGUGGCGGCUUAUAGACUGGCACUGGUGGUUUAGGUGGAAGCGGUUUCUUGGGAGGGCAAGGUUUCUUGGGUAGUGGUGGUGGCUUGUAGAGCGGCACCGGUGGUGGCUUGUAGACUGGCACUGGUGGAGGGAGUGGCUUUGGAGGGAAAACUUUCGGUGGCGGCUUAUACACAGGCACUGGUGGAGGGAAAACUUUCGGUGGGGGCUUAUACACAG
rnacentral:lncRNA from 1 species